rnacentral:rRNA from 1 species
AAGGCGGCGUAAGCUGUCGCUAUGGGAUGGCCCCGCGGUGCAUUAGCUAGUUGGUAAGGUAAAMGGCUUACCAAGGCGAUGAUGCAUAGCCGAGUUGAGAGACUGAUCGGCCACAUUGGGACUGAGACACGGCCCAAACUCCUACGGGAGGCAGCAGUAGGGAAUCUUCCACAAUGGACGCAAGUCUGAUGGAGCAACGCCGCGUGAGUGAAGAAGGUUUUCGGAUCGUAAAGCUCUGUUGUUGGUGAAGAAGGAUAGAGNUAGUA